UUCAUGAGCAAAACAAGUAGUACUAAAGUCACUCUCUUAUUUUUUUUUGUUACAUAUUUUCAUCCAAGUAAAAUAUGAGUCUGUUUAAGGUACAUUUGGACUAAUGUAGUUGAUUUACUAUCAUUGGGAAAGAUGGGUCUUCUAGGUUUUUUGUGUUGUUAUAUUGUAUGUUGUUGUUGGUCUUCUAUAUCCAAAUAUACCCUUUUCAUUGAAGAGGUUUUAGGUAGACGAGCUCUGGUUAAAAUGGAGGGAAAAGGCAGCUACAACAAUGUUCAUAUGCAAGUGAAAUCUUCAAACUUUGUUUGGCCUACUGAAGAAGAUGAUCUGACUCAAAAAAGCUCUGCCUUUCCCCAAAUGAUUUUUUCUGAUCUCCAAAGAGAUGUGCUGUUGAACAAUCACCUGAGAUUGGCGUCUGGUUCUUCUAAAACCAACUGAUAUAGAUGCUUUCAAGAAAUCUUACUUCACCGAACAAAGAGUUGGGAAAGGCUAUGAUUCUCAAAUUGAUAUUCCAAGUGCAACAGUUGCUUCACCUGGCUCUCUAUCCCAAGCUCGAAACCCCAGGAUAGGAAAUGCUGAAAGACUCAAAGCUCUACAAGAGCUACUUCCCCAAUCUGCAGAGGGUGGUCGAGUAUCUGCAUUAGAUGAUUUGAUCGACCAUAUCAAGUACUUGCAGCUACAAAUAAAGAAUCUCAGUGAAAGAAGAUUGGUAGGUGAAUCACCAACAAAGCCCAUCAUUUUUCGCGAGGGAUAUGGCCACUACUUUUGCCAUCAAGAGGAGUCGUCGAAUGAGCCUUUGGAGGAGAUAAUCACGGCGAAAUGGUUGGAGCAAGACCCUUCAGCUGUGAGCAAGCUGCUGGAGAUGAAAGGUCUUCUUCUUCUUCUCAUGCCCAUCGAUUGAGCUUAAGGAACACUAACUAGUCUGACCUGUGCUGUGUUGUGGUGCUCUUUUUGCUUGGUUCUCAAUUGGCUUAAUUACUAUUAAUACUUAUGUAAUGAAACUAAAUGUACUUUUAGAUAUACACACUUACAGAUUCUAUGGUACAAACAAGGGUAUGAAGA